UUUGAAUGUAAAUAUUUAUAUUAAACUAUUAAAAGCUAUGUUCUCUAAAAUUAAAAAAUAUGGCGGUAGUUUAGUCUUUUCAGAGGAACCUGUUCUAUAAUUGAUAAUCCACGAUUUAAUAUACUUUAUUUAGAAAUUUACAUAUCGUUGUUAAAAAUAUUUUUUUAGAAAUUAAUAUUUAAAAUUUUAUUAAAAAAGUAAAUCAGAUCAAGGUGUAGUUUAUAAUAAAGCAGAAAUGGGUUACAUUAAAUUUAUUUAUUUAUUUGGAUAAAUAGUUGAAAUAUUAUUUUGAAAUUGGAUUUGAAAGUAAUUAAACUUUAAAUUAUUUUAAUGAUUUAGCUCUAAACUAUGU
rnacentral:rRNA from 1 species